GAUGAACGCUGGCGGCGUGCCUAAUACAUGCAAGUCGAGCGAACGGACGAGAAGCUUGCUUCUCUGAUGUUAGCGGCGGACGGGUGAGUAACACGUGGAUAACCUACCUAUAAGACUGGGAUAACUUCGGGAAACCGGAGCUAAUACCGGAUAAUAUUUUGAACCGCAUGGUUCAAAAGUGAAAGACGGUCUUGCUGUCACUUAUAGAUGGAUCCGCGCUGCAUUAGCUAGUUGGUAAGGUAACGGCUUACCAAGGCAACGAUGCAUAGCCGACCUGAGAGGGUGACCGGCCACACUGGAACUGAGACACGGUCCCGACUCCUACGGGAGGCAGCAGUAGGGAAUCUUCCGCAAUGGGCGAAAGCCUGACGGAGCAACGCCGCGUGAGUGAUGAAGGUCUUCGGAUCGUAAAACUCUGUUAUUAGGGAAGAACAUAUGUGUAAGUAACUGUGCACAUCUUGACGGUACCUAAUCAGAAAGCCACGGCUAACUACGUG
rnacentral:rRNA from 1 species